rnacentral:rRNA from 1 species
AUUGAACGCUGGCGGCAGGCCUAACACAUGCAAGUCGAGCGGAGCGGCGGACGGGUGAGUAAUGCCUAGGAAUCUGCCUGGUAGUGGGGGAUAACGUCCGCAAACUGGCGCUAUUUCCGCAUACUAUCAGAUGAGCCUAGGUCGGAUUAGCUAGUUGUCGGGGUAAAGGCCGACCAAGGCGACGAUCCGUAACUGGCCUCAGAGGAAGAUCAGUCACACUGAAAAUGAAACACGGUCCAGACUCCUAGGGGAGGCAGCAGGGGAAAAGAUGGGGCAAUGGGCGAAAGCCUGAUACAGCCAUGCCGCGUGUGUGAAAAAGGUCUUCGGAUUGUAAAGCACUUUAAGUUGGGAGGCGUUACCAACAGAAUAAGCACCGGCUAACUUCGUGCCAGCAGCCGCGGUAAUUC